rnacentral:rRNA from 1 species
AGCGCAGCUAACGCGUGAAGUUGACCGCCUGGGGAGUACGUUCGCAAGAUUAAAACUCAAAGGAAUUGACGGGGACCCGCACAAGCGGUGGAUGAUGUGGAUUAAUUCGAUGCAACGCGAAAAACCUUACCUACCCUUGACAUGUCUGGAAUCCUGAAGAGAUUUAGGAGUGCUCGCAAGAGAACCGGAACACAGGUGCUGCAUGGCUGUCGUCAGCUCGUGUCGUGAGAUGUUGGGUUAAGUCCCGCAACGAGCGCAACCCUUGUCAUUAGUUGCUACGAAAGGGCACUCUAAUGAGACUGCCGGUGACAAACCGGAGGAAGGUGGGGAUGACGUCAAGUCCUCAUGGCCCUUAUGGGUAGGGCUUCACACGUCAUACAAUGGUCGGGACAGAGGGUCGCCAACCCGCGAGGGGGAGCCAAUCCCAGAAACCCGAUCGUAGUCCGGAUCGCGGUCUGCAACUCGACUGCGUGAAGUCGGAAUCGCUAGUAAUCGUGAAUCAGAAUGUCACGGUGAAUACGUUCCCGGGCCUUGUACACACCGCCCGUCACACCAUGGGAGUGGGUUGCUCCAGAAGUAGCUAGUCUAACCGCAAGGGGGACGGUUACCACGGAGUGAUUCAUGACUGGGGUGAAGUCGUAACAAGGUAGCCGUAGGGGAACCUGCGGCUGGAUCACCUCCUUAAGCUUGGAUCCCGGGC